UGGCAAAGCGGGCAGAAGGGCAGAGA
rnacentral:piRNA from 1 species